UGGGGAAUAUUGGACAAUGGGCGCAAGCCUGAUCCAGCCAUGCCGCGUGAGUGAUGAAGGCCUUAGGGUUGUAAAGCUCUUUUGUCCGGGACGAUAAUGACGGUACCGGAAGAAUAAGCCCCGGCUAACUUCGUGCCAGCAGCCGCGGUAAUACGAAGGGGGCUAGCGUUGCUCGGAAUCACUGGGCGUAAAGGGCGCGUAGGCGGCCAUUCAAGUCGGGGGUGAAAGCCUGUGGCUCAACCACAGAAUUGCCUUCGAUACUGUUUGGCUUGAGUUUGGUAGAGGUUGGUGGAACUGCGAGUGUAGAGGUGAAAUUCGUAGAUAUUCGCAAGAACACCAGUGGCGAAGGCGGCCAACUGGACCAAUACUGACGCUGAGGCGCGAAAGCGUGGGGAGCAAACAGG
rnacentral:rRNA from 2 species